GACGAACGCUGGCGGCGUGCUUAACACAUGCAAGUCGAACGAAGAGCGACGGAAGCUUGCUUCUAUCAAUCUUAGUGGCGAACGGGUGAGUAACGCGUAAUCAACCUGCCCUUCAGAGGGGGACAACAGUUGGAAACGACUGCUAAUACCGCAUACGAUCUAAUCUCGGCAUCUAGGAUGGAUGAAAGGUGGCCUCUACAUGUAAGCUAUCACUGAAGGAGGGGAUUGCGUCUGAUUAGCUAGUUGGAGGGGUAACGGCCCACCAAGGCGAUGAUCAGUAGCCGGUCUGAGAGGAUGAACGGCCACAUUGGGACUGAGACACGGCCCAGACUCCUACGGGAGGCAGCAGUGGGGAAUCUUCCGCAAUGGACGAAAGUCUGACGGAGCAACGCCGCGUGAGUGAUGACGGCCUUCGGGUUGUAAAGCUCUGUUAAUCGGGACGAAAGGCCUUCUUGCGAAUAGUGAGAAGGAUUGACGGUACCGGAAUAGAAAGCCACGGCUAACUACGUG
rnacentral:rRNA from 1 species